rnacentral:lncRNA from 1 species
ACCUGCACUGGGGGCCAGAGACAAAAUCAGACAGCCAGGCAGCAAACAUUUCCUACAGGGAGCUGCCUUGGCUGGGCCCUGGACUUCCCCAGCUCUGCCGGCCCGAGACCCUGAUGUCUUGGGACAGACCUCAGCUUCCGAAGCUCUCUAGAUCCGCCUCGAUGGCCCCAGCUACUGAGUCCCAGGCCUGUGUGUGCUCCUGUCUCCGCUCACAGCUCACUGUGUCCGGCCUGCCCAGCACCAGGGCUGCCUGAGGGAAGAAGAGACCAAGGCUGGCAGGGGGACCUCCCCGGGGAUCCAGAGCUGACUUCAUUGGCUCCCUCGCCCACCCGCAUGGCGCCCUUUGUCACCGGGAAGCCGAGUCUUGAUGUACAAGGAACAGGUCCCUCACCUCUUGGUCCUUCAUUCUUUGUGCCCUGAUGAAAUUCAGUCAAGACACACAGGCCGCUGUGCAGAAGUACAGGUCAAAUUUAUUGUAAAGAAGAUACAGAGUCGAAGGCCGGCAGUUCGGGGUCUUGCUAUGCAUUCCAGGCUGGCCUUGAAUUCAUGGCAUUCCUCCUGCCUCAGCCUCCCCAGCGCUGGGAAUACAGGAAUAUGAAGAGAGUGUCAGUUCCACCAGUCUACACCCUGAGACAAGCAGAGCAGCUGAGGCCAUGCAGGAUCUAAAGACCAGACGAGACCAAGAUGUCACUGAGCCACCCGGAUCUGGAGCCAGAUGACCCACUCCCCUUGUGCUUGGAGCGACAGAGUCCCAGAACCUGGGCAGGAGCAGGCCCAGAUCUGGGCAGUGGCCAGCAGCUCGAUGAACCCAAACCCGGCAGGUGCCACCUUGGAGGCUACUGGGAAACAUCCCAGCAGGUUACGAGUGUGGUGGCCGCACGCUGGCUAGAUGCCCUUUCUCUUCAUAGUUUCCUAUAUUGACUGGAAUUUUACAUUGUAACCAGACAAAACAAUCACAUUAUUUUUCCAGCGGUGUCGUGGGGGUCACUGGUGACACAUGUGCACCCCUACCUUCACCUGUGCUUUUUCUGCCGAUGACUUUACAAGCCCGACUUCUGUCCUGUCCGCCCAGCUCCCUCGCUGGCAAUCAAAGCUGCUCUCCGGUCCUUUGAGGGUUUCCAGCACUUUGCACGCAGCUCUUGGCAGAAGACGCAGGGUCACAUGGCGGGUGACUGGUAUUUAUUUUCUGACUCAUGG